GUUCAACUGCGGCGUUGGUGACUGCCAAUAAUGUUUUUGAUCUAUGCUUAAACAUUUAAGGGAGUCAAAAUUGCUAACGGCAGUAGACCGAGCAAGUACUCGGAAACUUUAAGUUCAGCUAAUCGAUUCCCACCUGGAUUUUCCAGGUCAAAACUGAGGUAAGACGGCGUUGCGGUGGACUU
rfam:Chroococcidiopsis thermalis PCC 7203, complete genome.